rnacentral:misc_RNA from 1 species
GAUGAAGAACGUAGCGAAAUGCGAUAAGUAAUGUGAAUUGCAGAAUUCAGUGAAUCAUCGAAUGUUUGAACGCACAUUGCGCCCGCCAGUAUUCUGGCGGGCAUGCCUGUCUGAGCGUCAUUUCAACCCUCAUGCACCUAGGGCGUGGUGUUGGGGAUCGGCCAAAGCCCGCGAGGGACGGCCGGCCCCUAAAUCUAGUGGCGGACCCGUCGUGGCCUCCUCUGCGAAGUAGUGAUAUUCCGCAUCGGAGAGCGACGAGCCCCUGCCGUUAAACCCCCAACUUUCCAAGGUUGACCUCAGAUCAGGUAGGAAUACCCGCUGAACUUAAGCAUAUCAAUAAGCGGAGGA